rnacentral:ncRNA from 2 species
UAAAUAUUAUAUAAUUAUGGUACUUAUUAUAAGUUUAAUAGGGAAAACAGUGAAAGUCUGUUACAGCCCCCGUUACUGUAAGCAAGGACGAAUCCCGUGACCACUGAACAUUUAUGUUUGGGAAGGUGGGAGGAGAAUGAUAUGCAAGUCAGGAGACCUGCCAAAAUUAUUGAAAGAAC